AACGAACGCUGGCGGCAUGCCUAACACAUGCAAGUCGAACGAGACCUUCGGGUCUAGUGGCGCACGGGUGCGUAACGCGUGGGAAUCUGCCCUUCGGUUCGGAAUAACUCAGGGAAACUUGAGCUAAUACCGGAUAAUGACGUAAGUCCAAAGAUUUAUCGCCGAAGGAUGAGCCCGCGUAGGAUUAGCUUGUUGGUGGGGUAAUGGCCCACCAAGGCGACGAUCCUUAGCCGGUCUGAGAGGAUGAUCAGCCACACUGGGACUGAGACACGGCCCAGACUCCUACGGGAGGCAGCAGUGGGGAAUAUUGGACAAUGGGCGAAAGCCUGAUCCAGCAAUGCCGCGUGAGUGAUGAAGGCCUUAGGGUUGUAAAGCUCUUUUACCCGGGAUGAUAAUGACAGUACCGGGAGAAUAAGCUCCGGCUAACUCCGUG
rnacentral:rRNA from 1 species